AGCGAACGCUGGCGGCAGGCUUAACGCAUGCAAGUUGAGCGGGCCUUUCGGGGUCAGCGGCGGACGGGUGAGUAACGCGUGGGAACGUGCCCUCUGGUUCGGAAUAACUCAGGGAAACUUGAGCUAAUACCGGAUACGCCCUUUUGGGGAAAGGCUUGCUGCCGGAGGAUCGGCCCGCGUCUGAUUAGCUAGUUGGUGAGGUAACGGCUCACCAAGGCGACGAUCAGUAGCUGGUCUGAGAGGAUGAUCAGCCACACUGGGACUGAGACACGGCCCAGACUCCUACGGGAGGCAGCAGUGGGGAAUAUUGGACAAUGGGCGCAAGCCUGAUCCAGCCAUGCCGCGUGAGUGAUGAAGGCCUUAGGGUUGUAAAGCUCUUUUAUCCGGGACGAUAAUGACGGUACCGGAGGAAUAAGCCCCGGCUAACUUCGUG
rnacentral:rRNA from 1 species